CAUUGCCUGUUGGUCCACUCCCUCUGGGGCACCUGGCAUUGGCCACUGUCGGUAGACAGGAUGCUGGACUGGAUGGACCUUUGGUCUGACCCGGUACGGCCGUUCUUAUGUUCUUAUUUGAGCCUGCGCCUGCUCCUGAGUCAGUCAACCCCGUUCCCUCUGUGUGCGUCUCUCACAGGAUCGCUUUCCUGGGGUGGGAGUUCCCAAACUUCAGCAGCAGAAGCAAGGACCUGCUGGGCCGCUUCGCCAUGGCCCGACGACACGUGCAAGCCGCCGGGUUCUUGAUCGUGGAUGUUCCCUACUAUGAGUUUCUGGAGCUGAAAUCGGAGUGGCAGAAGGCAGCCUACCUCAAGGACAAAAUGAACAAAGCCAUAGGGGCAGAGAUGGCUAAGUGACCCCUGCACCUGUCGAACGAUGGACUCUAGUGUUUGCAUCCGGCAUGAGAGAGAGAGGAUUGCCUCAGGCGACCGGAGUGCUGCUGCUGUGAACGGGUGUUGUGCUCCCCAGGGGUGGGGAGGAGGAAGGCAGGGGUGGGGGUAGCGUUGUGUAUAUAAAUAUGUAUUGGAAUAAAUUCCCUCUUGUACAGGC